ACGUUUUACAGAGGAUGUAAAACUGCGUCGGCAUAAAAGAACGACAAGGACAUUGAUUAUAUUAUUUUCAAGCCUACGGACAUUUACUAUUGAGCAUAUCUCUCUACGGUUCUAGAUAAUUAGCGUAGUUAAUUUGCGGUGUUGUUCGACGAUCGAGAUAUACGUAUUAACAUAUCGUAUCUGGUAAUUUUCCAGAAAGUUCUUAUUACUUGGUAUACCAGUAUAAAAUACUAUAAGUUCGUCACGUAUCCACUAUAUAAAAAAUCAUCAAGUUAACUACUCGCUCAUCGAUAUUCUCGAGACGUUAAUUUACAACUUCCAGAGAGACGAUAAAAACGUUGGAAAAAGUUGCAUCACAAAGUGACUCAUAGUGAUUCACUUUAUAUAUUUCUGUAAUGACUGGUGCCAGUCGAUAUAUGAUAACAUCGAUUUCACGUACCUCAGCGAGUUAUAACGUUCGCACGAAUCGCUACACGAAGAAAGAAAACUGAUGUAACUGCGGAUAUCACGGAUGCAAAAAGGUCACGAGAUCGUGACGUUUCGGUGAAAGGUUCAUGCGUUAAAUUCACGGACGCAACGAUUAAGAUCUAAGUACCACGGCCACAGAUCUCGAGAAAAGGACCUACGAAAGUUUUGCGGUUUGCAUCUUUCGAAGGUUACGGAGAUGCAAUAUUUACUCUAAGAUGAAGACAGACGUUGUGAAACACGUCGGAAGGAAAAUAACACGACGAUUCUUAGCGCGUCUCCACUUGUUAUUUAGAUUCCUCGGAUGUCUUGAAUUAUCGUUUCGCAAUGUGCUAAUCAUCGACACAAGCAGGAAAACGGAAAAAUUUCGAUCUGAAAAAAGAUAUGAAUUUCUCACUGUAUUCUAAAUAUUCAUAACGACAAUUCUACUUAUCGAAGAAACCGUUAACUGAUAAGUAAACAGCGAACGUGCCAUUAUAAUGGCUAACUAAUAAAUAGGAACUCGAUUAUACGUAAUACUUGGGAAGGGAUGAGCGUUAAUUAAAAUAACAUUCUUGCACGUCCGUUAAAUGCUUCUAAGCGCUGAAAAUGGCGCAGUACCCGCUGGUCAACUGCGAGUAAAUGAUACCAGUAAUAUUAAUAAGUUACUAAUUAGCAUAAAUCUGUAAUUCUGACCCUCUUCUUAGUCUAGUUGUCUGCAUGCCAAUGUAACGUCCGGUUACCUGAGACACAUUUGAUUCUUCCCAAUCAUUAUUUCUCCCUUUGAUUAACGUUUCAAUAUUACAAUUUGAAACGAACAUCACGUAUGACUGUGUUCGGUUAUACCUGUAAUAUUCGCAAAUAUUUGCACAUUAGAAUACUUAGUGGAGUGAGAAUAAUGUUAUCGCUAAGAUACUAAUAAGCAAGUCGAGUUAUGCAAAUUCGAAACGUAAAACAGAAAGCGAACGUAACGAGUAAAUAAUACAUACUUUGGAAAUUGUCCUUAGUUUUUGAUAUUUAAACUAGUACCUCGAAGAAAUUUUCAAGGAUCAAAGUAAAAAUAGUCUUCUGAAAUAUUCGUCAAAGCGGCUAUGUACUGUUAGUCUGAUUUCGAGUUGGGAUCAAUGGACGAUGAAGCGAAAAAAAUUACUGAUCGCUGGGCAUGUCGACGUCGUUGAAAUAACGAGCACGCCAAUAAUAUCUAGUUCGCUGGUGGCUCGUGAAAGAUUAUUUAGUUUACCUUGGAUAGUUGCCUAGAAAAUAAACUGUACAGUGAAUGGUAUCAAAAUAUGUUGGAAUGUAAUGCAAAUAAGAUCGUGAUAUAUUUCUCAGUAAUAAUCCACGAUGACCUAUUCCAACGAUGUUUACGCGAAUUAGAUAUGCUAUACGGAAGAUUUGGGAUAUUAAAAAUAUCUAGACGUGUUUUACGUCAAAUAGAGUCUUAGAAUGAUUUAAUUCUGUGAUUGUGAAACUUUCCUCGAAACAUGCUGAGCAUCUCAAGUUUCUGUAACGGAUGAAAACAAUGAAUAAGAAUAAUCCUACGGACGUCUGAAAGUAUCUGAAUGACCAUGAUGUUGAAAUGGCCAACACCUAUUACAGAUAUACUACCAGUGCACACGCACUUUAUUACUGUUAUAACAUUACGUUAUACACAUUACAUGAUCAUUCGUCGACAGUUAUGCCUCGCCCGUCAUCGUUUUAAUGCUCGAUAAAACUCUUCUCUAUG